GGGGGAAAAGGGAUUUGUCACCUCUUGGGUGAGUGUUCUAACCACUGGGCUAUAGGAUAUCCUGAUGUAGGGCUCCCUCAGUCUCUCCUGUUGAAGCUGUUCCACUCUGAAUAAAUGAUUAGAGUCAGUGGAGCAGGGGACUGGAUCCAGGGUCUACACACAUUGUGGGGUGAGUGCUCUGACCACCAGGCUAAAGAGUCAUUCUCACUCGCUCGCUCUCUCUACUCUACCUCCACCUCAAUGACUCUUUAAUUUUUUAUCCACAUUGGAAUAGGUUCAACGGGAGAGACUGAGGGUGUCCCACAUCAGAAUAUCUCAUAGCCCAAUGAAGGUGAUCCCUCCUCCGCGCUCCAGCUUCUUACGAAAACAGGACAGGCGCCUGACUCCAAAGAGGGUUCCCCAGCUCUGAAUCACUAGCAGAGAAGGGCCUCCCUGCAGUCUGGAUUUAGGCACCUAUCUCUGUGAGAGAGGCUGGACUUAGUGCACACCUUUCUGAUCAGCAUAUCCCAUUGGCUAGCUUAGAUGGCUCCCUGUCUACCAUGCUGGAUUUUGUGAAUCACAGUCUAAGAGCCUAACUCAGUCUUUCUGGAUUGCAGUGUGUUCCUGUGAUUUUUUAGAUGCCUAAAAUAUAAGUGCUGUGUUCAGCGUCACAAUGCCUAACUCCUUUUGUGCAUCCAGGCCUUAGACACAUUCUUAACUUUGCACAUGGGAGAAGUCCUUUAGAGUUCAGUGGGACUAUUUGUGUGUAAAGCUAAGCAGGUAAACACUUGCAUGAUUGGGGCCUAAGACUGGUGUAAAUAAGAUCACAUCUGGCCCCACUGUUUUAAGCUGAUCACAUUAAAGUCUGGCUGUAAACUGAAAUGUGACUAAAAUUGGCACUGCUGGGUGCAUGUUUAUUUGCUUCAUCUACAGAUUACAAGAUUUUUUUCUAACUACCUGAAAGCUUGAACCUUGGAUUUAAAAUUCAAGCUCCUCUACCAUUAGCAGUAAUAGCUAUUCUGUGGGCCAAACAGUACCCUCAGAGUAACACCUGUGUAAGUCAAUGUAAAGCUAAUAGUUGUAACUGGAACAAUGGGCUGGCACUGAGUUACUGAGGGCAGCAUUUAAUCAAAGGAACCUUUACUAUUGGGGCUGGCAGGGAAGAAAGACCCCAGCUUAAUUAUCAGAUGCUAGAGUGAGUUUGCAGGGCUGACAGUUGGAAAGAAAAUGCCUAUUUACAUGUAAACAGAGCAUAUUGUAUCUAACAAUCAUUGAGACACAAGCCAUGUUGAACCUUGUGAUGCCAUGUUUAUAGUCAGAGUAGAGCCAUGACUUCAUACUUUAAAUGAUCCAGGCAGCCAAAUUGUAACCACUCUACUAAGGCAGGAAUAAACAGAAUAUGCUGGUUAGAUUCUUUGGUGAGUUUUGCAGUAACAUUGUUUAGUAGAUUGUCCCUACUUUCCAAUAUUCCUGUUUCUAAUACUUAAAAACUAAUAAUAAACUUACAUAUUCUUCCUGAUAGUCUGCCAAUUUCUUUUUGCCCAGAAAUCCAUUUGGAAGGAACUUCUGACUUUCUGCAUCAUCGUUAGCAAAUUGACUGAACACAAAGAAAUAGCAAAAUCAGAAAACAAUAAAGUUUACUACACACAAGAGACUAAUGGUCCAAUUCAAUGCUCACUGGAACCAAUGGAAAGACUCCAACUGCAUCAGUCAGGCCCUAUAUUCAAAACUCCUUACUCAAUUUUAUUCAGUGUUUCCUCUAGCAAAACUCCCACAGAUGUCAAUGGGAGUUUUACUGAAGGAAGCACUGCAUUAAAACUGAAUGAGACACUCAGGAUUGGGCCUACAAACUUUGUUUAGUUUUAAAGAAGUCUAAACCACACAUGGCAGAUUCAUAGCUUUCAAUACAUCUUCCAACUUCUGUCAACAGUGCUGCCUUCCUUAGCAGCAUUUUCCUUCCCAAUAUCACACAUCCUGUUCAUUUUAUUUACAUUCUUGCAGGCUACCCCUUAUCCUUUAUCUCAGAAGCCCUGUAUACCAAGUAUCCAACUCUCCAUUUCUAAUCUCUGCUCAAAACACAUUUCUGUGAACCUUAUCACUGUUAACUCCGCCCCGGAAGAAUUACUAUUAUUUACUCAUAUAAAAUAAAACCACUUCCCACCAACAAAAAGGCCUAUUGCACCACAAUGUGAUAAUUCCAACUACUGGUCACUCAGUGCUUUAUGUACCAUAUCUGAACUCUUAUGUAUUAUUUGUCUUUAGACCUUGAUCCUGUACUCAGAUCUGCUAGCAUGGAACCCCUAAAACAUUCUGGAGGUGCAGGGAUCAACACUAGCAGAUUUAAUUGCAAGACCAGGGCCUUAAAAUGGAAGAUAUUGAUAUGAAUCUAAAUGGAACUACAGGAUCCAAGCACACCUGGGGAAUAUUUGAGUUGACUUUCCAGUGAUGCUAGCCUGCCCUUAUUAAUGGGUGCAUUGCCAUUGGAUGGAGCCCCUAGAACAGCAUCUGGUCACUUAACUCCAGGACCAACUCCCGGACCUACUCCUGAAAAGAUGAGACAAGCAGGCUUGACAAAACAAGAAGACUCAGAAGAUAAAUCUGUUUUUUAUAUCAAGAAGCACUACAAGGUGCCAUGAAGUUUGGCUGACACAUGGAACUAGCCUAGAGAGGAUCAGCAUCUGCUGUCGGUUAUGUAAGAUCUGUUGCAAGAACUUGCGGUAUGUGUGUCUGGUUGAGACAAGAUCUUGCCUGAGAAUGAGUGAGCAGAAGUCCAGUCCACACAAGAGAAAGAGGAAGCCUAUAGAGGAUACUUGAUAGAAGAUACGGUGGCUGGCGUUGGUAGGCUGUUCCAUUCUCCUGGCCAGAGAAACUUAAGUGCUUGCGAAAGGGGCAAUGGAGCGAGGGGGCGUGGUCUCCUGCCCUGACGGACAUAGAGAGAGCCAUGACCGCCCCGGGUGGGCAGAACCAGGAUACCCGCAGCCAGCCCGCCAGAAGCAGAGGGGUGGGACAGGAACUGGAACUAUAAAAGGCUGGCCUUCAAGCUCAGUUGGGGCAGAGCAGCUAGAGGAGCAGGAUGUCUCUCCCCUGCUGCUGAAGCCGGGACUUGACGGCGGCUGCUCCAUGCCAAAGACCCGGAAGGACUGCUGGAACUGCCAGACACCAGGGACACUGAGGAGCUGUUGGUGCUGCCACUUGCCGUUGAUCUGAGUGAGACCAACGACAGCCCUGAACCCAGGUACCCCCAGAUUGGGAGUGAAGGAAGGAACCCAGGAAAACCGAAUAGGGUUUGGCUGUGUGACUGAUUGCAAGCUGGCCAGUGUGUUGCGGUCGGAUUUCUCCACUGACCCAGUGGUGGACUACUCUGCCACUGUUAGGGCCCUGGGCUGGGACGCAGUAAAGUGGGAGGGCCUGCGUCCCACUACCCCCUGCCAUCCACCAUCGGGGUGGCAGCCUCACCACUUUGUGGUCAGGAGGCCUGCAUCAGUCUGGCCCCCUCUAAACUAUGGCACCAGAUGGUUUGCUGACUCUCUCACCAGAGAGCUAAUCUCCCCUAGACUGCACUGUUGCUCUGCCUGACAGCAGGGAAGAGCCCCAUACCGGAACUGAUUGCUGUCCCGCCCUGAUUGAGGGCCCAGGCGAAUAGACUCUCUACUGCUCUACCUAACUGACUAUAGGUCAGAGACUCUACUGGAUUACUGCCCCAUCCUGAUUGCCCCUGAACCGAAGCACUCCGGAAGUGUUGUAGUGAGGGGGCUUGGGUUCCCGCCCUGACAGAUAGGGAGAGAGCUGUGACUGCCUUACAGGCAACAAUGACAGGUCUAGAAAAUGGAGGUAUCUGUGUACAGAGCACAUCUUUUUGCAGCAGAGACCAAUGUUUUGUUCUGUGUUUGUACAGCAGCUAGCAUAAUAGGGUCUUGGUCCAUGACUGGGGGCUUCUAGGUGCUAUCAUGAUACAAAUAAAUAAUAUCUUAUGAGCAGCAGAUACCCAAGUUUCCUUACACACAUUAUUUAUAUGAAUAUGGUACCAAGGAACCCCAGUCAGGGACUAGAACCCCAUUAUACUAUGGUCUGUAUACACAUACAACAGAGAUGGCUCCAGCCCCAAGGCGCUUACAAAUUAAGUAUAAGACAAGAGACAACAGACAGGCAAGGGAGUACAUGGAAACAGUGAGACAAUGUUAGCCAGCAUGAUAGGCAGUGGUCUCUGCACACUAGCUCCAAUGUGCCUCGACUCUGGUCUCAGAGGCACCACCGAGAGUUGAGGGGAUAAUUCAAUCUUCAGGGUCAUUCAGCUCUUGGCCUCUGCUGAGAUUACAGGUAAGAGUUUUAGUCAGUGACAAAUGCGGUGCUGGCUGUGGGUUUUUUUGGUGUAGACACUGCCCACUAGGAAGUGGACUGAGACCAUUAUCUUAUUUCACAUAGGUUACUCAACUGUCAUGUGGUAAUAAUGCCUGGUCAUGUGGCCUGGACUCAUACUAGCAACCGAGAGGUGAAAGGCUCGUUGUCACUUUGGCAGUGCAUUGAAUUUUCCAGUUCUUGCCUGCCUCCACUCUAACCUCACCCCCAACAUUUGUUUAGAAAAAUAUUUUGGCUGAGAGAUGCAAAAAAUUUUCUUGAAAGGAUUUAGCUAUAAUUAGAGGAGUCAUUAAACUGUGUAGCAGGAGAGGUGUAAAGGAAUUCCCAACAUUUUUCUAUUGGGAUGGAAGCUGGGAUCACUUUAGGUUUCCAGUCCCAAAGCCAAAUGAAAAUAAUUCUUAUGUAAACUUAAUGGCUAGGUUUAUUGGUGAAAUUGUGACGUAUUAUUGCUUACAGGGCCUGAGCAUUAAUCAGAUAGAGCUUUUCAUUUUUGCAUUCUGCUGGGACCUGCUGCCAGUAUUACCAAAUGCAAGUAUUCAAAAUUGCUUUCGUGAACACAACACCUCAUGAAUCAGGCCACAAAAAAUCACGAUGUCUUUAAAAUUUUGUGUUGGAUUCCUUUUAGUUGCCUUCUGGUGUUGUAGUCCGGAGUUCCCAUUUUCAAGCUUAUCUCCAUAGCCAUGAGGGCUAAAAAUUUACUUUUAUUUAAACGGAAGCUUGAUAUUCACACCUAACCAUGACUUCAGGAGCCGAGGCUUUAAGAAAAGCACCAAAUACCAUAACACUCUCAAUUAAAUCUUGAGAGUUGGCAACAGUCUCCUGUCCCAUGGAAGUCAAUGGUAAAAUUUCGGCAUGGGGAUCUGUACU